GCAGGCAUGAUGAGAGGCGCAGGGGUACGGACCUCAGCCGCUGAUGGGGGCUGAGCGCUGCUGCAGAGGCCGUCAGGAACAUGUGGUUCACUGUCAGGCCAGCAGCAGCAGCGCGACACAGACGCCACGCUGACCUGC
rnacentral:snoRNA from 1 species